rnacentral:lncRNA from 10 species
CCAUGGAAGUCUUCUGUGCAUUUCUGCAAAAAUUUAGGAAACAUUAGGUUUGACACCAUCAUCAUGUUUGCCAAGGCAGCAAAAAUCCCAGCCGGCAAAGCUUCAAGUGUGAUGAAGCGGAACAGCAAGGACAGCACGGAAUGACUGAUCAUUUCAGAAUGCCGUCUAGCGAGAGUUUCCAAUGUGGGAGUUUUCCAUUGUUUUGAAGCAGGAGAAAUAGGGACCGGCUGCUUUGGAAGAAACAUGCUGUAGGGGUCUGCCCCUACUACGAACUUAUGAGGGUUGAGGAGAAAUUAGGAAAUGUGGACACAGAGAAACACCAGGGAUGCUCACACGCAGAGGACAGACCACGGGAAGGCACAGCAAGAAU